rnacentral:rRNA from 1 species
ACCAAGGCUACGACGGGUACCGGGACUGAGAGGUUGACCCGGCGCAUCGGGACUGAGACACUGCCCGGACUCCUACGGGAGGCUGCAGUAACGAAUAUUGGGCAAUGGGCGAAAGCCUGACCCAGCGACGCCCGCGUGUGGGAAGAAUGCCUUCGGGUUGUAAACCACUGUCAGGGAUUACCCAACCAACCGGUGUGAAUUAGCGCCGGGAGUUGAGGAGUCCCAGAGGAAGUCACGGCUAACUUUCGUUGCCAGCAGCCGCGGUAAUACGAAGGUGGCUAGCGUUGUUCGGAAUCACUGGGCUUUAAAGAGCACGUUAGCGGAUGAUCAGGCGUCUUGUGAAACCCCUCGGCUCAACCGGGGAAUUUGGUUGGGGAACUGAUUCAUCUUUGGGCAGGUAGGGGCGAGUAGAACUCUUGGUGGAGCGGUGGAAUGCUUAGAUAUUCAAGAGGAACGGCCCAGAGGCGAAGGCGAUUCGCUGGGCCUGACCUGACGCUGAGGUUGCGAAAGCCAGGCGAACGAACGGGAUUAGAUACCCCGGUAGUCCUGGCCCUAAACGAUGUCCACUAGGUCGGUGAGGUUCUAAUGCUUUGCUGGCCGAAACAAAAGCGUUAAGUGGACCGCCUGGGGAGUACGGUCGCAAGGCUCAAACUCAAAGGAAGGGACGGGGGCUCACACAAGCGCUGGAGCAUGUUGCUUAAUUCGAUGCAACGCGAAGAACCGUAUCCUGGGCUUGACAUACACGGAUGCCCUCCAGGAAACAGCUCGGGUUGCCCUUCAGGGGUGAAACGUACACAGGUGCUGCAUGGCUGUCGUCAGCUCGUGUCGUGAGAUGUUGGCUUAAGUCCCGUAACGAGCGAAACCCUUGUCGCUAGUUGCCAGCGCGUAAUGUCGGGGACUCUAGCGAGACUGCCGGUGUUAAACCGGAGGAAGGUGGGGAUGACGUCAAGUCCUCAUGGCCUUUAUGCCCAGGGCUGCAUACGUGCUGCAAUGGUAGGGACAGAGCGACGCAAGACCGUGAGGUGGAGCAAAUCGCAAAAACC